GAUGAACGCUGACAGAAUGCUUAACACAUGCAAGUCAACUGUGGCGGACGGGUGAGUAACGCGUAAAGAACUUGCCUCACAGAUAGGGACAACAUUAGGAAACGAAUGCUAAUACCUGAUACUGUGAGAGAGCUUUGCGUCCCAUUAGCUAGUUGGAGAGGUAACGGCUCACCAAGGCGAUGAUGGGUAGCCGGCCUGAGAGGGUGAUCGGCCACAAGGGGACUGAGACACGGCCCUUACUCAUUCGGGAGGCAGCAGUGGGUAAUGUUGGACAAAGGACCAAAGUCUGAUCCAGCAAUUCUGUGUGCACGAUGAAGUUUUCGGAAUGUAAAGUGCUUUCAGUUGGGAAGCAGUACCAACAGAAGAAGUGACGGCUAAAUACGUGCCAGCAGCCGCGGUAAUAC
rnacentral:rRNA from 1 species